UAAGGCGGUGGAAUGAGGAGCGCGGGGUGGUUUUGUCGGCGCGGGAUGAGGAGCGGCUAUCCCGAGACAGAUGGGGCGAUUAGAGUGCGAGUGGGCGGCUGUCUCGCAUCCUUGCUCGAUACCGUGUUAACUGGGUUGGUUUGCAGCAUGGGCAUGCCAAGUCGGCUCCCAGGCUUCCCUCCCGCUUUAUUUUCAAGGAUGGCCCGUUUCCUCCGAGAUUCGCCCGCUGAUUCCGCGGCUUGCGCUUUCUGCUCUUGUCUGUCACCGCGGUGCCUUGGACGGCAACUUUCUGCCACGUAGCAGUUGAACUAGGGACAUCUUCCCCGUCGUUGCAAAACCUUGAUCAAGGGCUCACUGCAUACCUUUCUUUCUUUUUCUUAAAUGAGUGUGGGUUUUAUAUUUCCUGUGGAUGUAAUCUUAAUUUCAUCAUUUGCUGAUGAACUAGAAUGGACUUGUUUUUUCCUAUGAUUUUAGAGAUCAUUUGUUUAUGUUUUAUUGACAUCUGGGUUAACAGUGCUUGAGGCAAAGUCAAAACUGCCUCCCACAGCAAGUCAUAAUUGCAAAUCCAUAUCAAGCCUAGAUUUCGAAGGUAUGUUUGGAAGAAUCUCAAGGUGAAGAGAAAUGACAUAAUUUACAUUCCAGCCUUUGGGGGCAAAGAAAACUGGGGGAAGAAGUUGGAGAAACCUGAAAGGGAGCUAUGCCUAUUACUCAGAGGAGGCAGUCUACCAACAAAAGCCUUGUGUCACAGUUCACACAUCAUCAUGUUGCCGUGUUCCUCCUCACUUUCUUCAGCUACUCUCUUCUCCAUGCUUCCCGAAAGACCUUUAGCAAUGUCAAGGUCAGCAUCUCCAGCCAAUGGACCCCCUCUUGCUUUAAUGACUCUGCCUUCAUUCUUCAACCAUACGAG